rnacentral:tRNA from 1 species
GCCAGGCUGGCUCAGUCGGUAGAGCAUGUGACUCUUGAUCUUGACAUCAUGAGUUCGAGCCCCACGUUGGGUG